GAAAGCAAUACCGUGGGUAUUGCGCUCCUGGAUGGGCUCAUGUCCUAUCAGCUUGUUGGUGAGGUAACGGCUCACCAAGGCUUCGACGGGUAGCUGGUCUGAGAGGACGAUCAGCCACACUGGCACUGCGACACGGGCCAGACUCCUACGGGAGGCAGCAGUAAGGAAUAUUGCGCAAUGGACGAAAGUCUGACGCAGCGACGCCGCGUGGGGGAGUGAAGGUCUUCGGAUUGUAAACCCCUUUCGGAGGGGAAGAUGGAGUGGGUAACCACUUGGACGGUACCUCCAGAAGCAGCCACGGCUAACUUCGUG
rnacentral:rRNA from 1 species